CCUACGGGAGGCAGCAGUGGGGAAUCUUGCGCAAUGGCCUAACGGCUGACGCAGCGACGCCGCGUGUGGGAUGAAGCUCUUCGGAGUGUAAACCACUGUUGCCCGGGACGAACAGCUCGAUUUCUCGAGCCUGACGGUACCGGGUGAGGAAGCACCGGCUAACUCCGUGCCAGCAGCCGCGGUAAUACGGGGGGUGCGAGCGUUGUCCGGAAUCACUGGGCGUAAAGGGCGCGUAGGUGGUUUGAUAAGGGUGUGGUGAAAGUCCGGGGCUCAACCCCGGAUCUGCCGUGCCGACUGUCAAACUCGAGGACUGUAGAGGCAGACGGAAUUCCGGGUGUAGCGGUGGAAUGCGUAGAGAUCCGGAGGAAGACCGGUGGCGAAGGCGGUCUGCUGGGCAGUUUCUGACACUGAGGCGCGACAGCGUGGGGAGCAAACAGGAUUAGAUACCCUGGUAGUCCACGCCGUAAACGAUGGGUACUAGGUGCCUGGGGGAGCGACCCCUUGGGUGCCGGCGCUAACGCAGGAAGUACCCCGCCUGGGGAGUACGGCCGCAAGGCUGAAACUCAAAGGAAUUGACGG
rnacentral:rRNA from 1 species